rnacentral:snRNA from 1 species
AUACUUACCUGGCAGGGGAAGCACCGUGACCACAUAGGUGGGCUCCCCAGGGCAAGUGAUUGUCUCUAAUAUGUCCUCCAUAGGAGGUCUAUAUUGAGCAGACUUUUUUUGGUGUUGGGUGGUAGAACUGGAGUUUGCUCCAUCCACUC